rnacentral:lncRNA from 1 species
CCUGCCUUCAGUCUGAUAUUUGCAUGUGUGUAAAUAUCCCCCUUCCGGCAGGCUGUCAGGAGCCCCUGUCUUCCCGGGAUGGACCAUGGAUCUUCUUGCUCCCUUCCACUCAUCCUGUAAGCCUCUGCAUGCUGCACUGCCCACAGAGUCCCUGUGAUAGGACUCUGGCACUGUCCUCUGCUGGUGCCCCAUUACUAUCAACUUGCUGGCUUUAAGCCACAGACAUUUGUUGUUCCAAUAUCCAAGCCUUCUGCAUCCAGCUGUCUGUAGAAUAAAGAUGGGUAGAUGAGAGCCAUAGCUGACCAGCAGCCAGAGAGAAAUCUACAUUUCUGUGAGCUACUAGCCUGGCCUGGUGAAUACAGCACAGUGGCCAGUGUAGGUUUGUCUGCUUCCUGGAGUGGGCUCGGCUCUCCCACAUAAAUCACCAAUCAAUGUAAUUUCUUGCAGACAAGGCCACAAGCCAAUCUGAUCAAUGCAACUCUUCAGUUGAAGUUCCCUUCUCCCAGUAAAUCACCUUCAGGAAGCUGAAUGAAGCCAUCCAUUCUCCUGCAAGCCACACACUUCCCAGCCACUCCCACCGGCCUCCUUGGGUACUAUCUGGAAGUGGGAAUAGCAUAUAUCUCUCUUCCCCAGGUCCUAGGAAGUUACCUGGUUUUCUGGUUGUGUCCCCCAACAUUCAGGCCACAGACCAUCCAGCAUCAGAUCUACUUUUCUGCACAUUCCAAGCUUCGUUGUCACCCGACUCUACAUAUCAGCACUCAGACUACCCGGGAAUCUUCACAGACUCCGGAAUGGAGGACCUUGUUCUUGCUUCUUAAAUGCUUUCCCAAAAAUUUCCAUGAGGGCUGGAGAGACGACUUGGGGGUGAGGAGUGCUUGCUGCUCCUGCAGAGGACCCCCAGUGCCAGGAGAGCCGACACUCUCUCCUGGCCUCCAAAAGUACUGCCCUUCCUUACACAUGUCCACCACAGACAGACACACACACACACACACACACACACACACACACACA